UACAUAUUCCUCCUGCUGCCUUAAUCUUGUGAUAGUGUUUGACUUCGCACAGAGUUUAAGAAAUUAAAGAAAUCAAAGAAGACCUGAUCAAAUAUUUGCAAAGUUUAUAACCUUCCCUUAUUUCCCCCCGUAGUUCAUGCCAAAAAAUAUAUGCAAAGUACCAAAAGCGCCUGACUAGUCUAGUCAUAAGGGUGAAAUGAGGAUGUGCUCAAUUUUUUUGGGACAUAGUGAAGGGA
rnacentral:misc_RNA from 1 species